UUAAUUUGAGAGUUUGAUCCUGGCUCAGGACGAACGCUGGCGGCGUGCCUAAUACAUGCAAGUCGAACGAACUCUGGUAAUGAUUGGUGCUUGCAUCAUGAAUUACAUUUGAGUGAGUGGCGAACUGGUGAGUAACACGUGGGAAACCUGCCCAGAAGCGGGGGAUAACACCUGGAAACAGAUGCUAAUACCGCAUAACAACUUGGACCGCAUGGUCCGAGUUUGAAAGAUGGCUUCGGCUAUCACUUUUGGAUGGUCCCGCGGCRUAUUAGCUAGAUGGUGAGGUAACGGCUCACCAUGGCAAUGAUACGUAGC
rnacentral:rRNA from 2 species